ensembl:snoRNA Gm23077 predicted gene, 23077
CUUGCCCCUAGAAGCACUUUAGGUGUAGCUGCUGUGUCACAUGUGUAUCAGCUGGUGGCAAAGAGGAGAGAGGCUAUGUCUGUGCUCAGUGUUCUGACCUGGCCUUGACCCACACC